CUUGGUCAUUUAGAGGAAGUAAAAGUCGUAACAAGGUUUCCGUAGGUGAACCUGCGGAAGGAUCAUUACAAGUGAGGCUACCGAACGUUGGAAACAGCGGUUAGGAGCUUACACCCACCCGUGUUUACAUACUAUUGUUGCUUUGGCGGGCCGUCCUUUUAGGCGUCGGCCCCGGCUGAUCGCGCCCGCCAGAGGACCCAAACUCUUCUAUCAGUGAUGUCUGAGUACUAUAUAAUAGUUAAAACUUUCAACAACGGAUCUCUUGGUUCUGGCAUCGAUGAAGAACGCAGCGAAAUGCGAUAAGUAAUGUGAAUUGCAGAAUUCAGUGAAUCAUCGAAUCUUUGAACGCACAUUGCGCCCGCCGGUAUUCCGGCGGGCAUGCCUGUUCGAGCGUCAUUAUGACCAAUCAAGCUCUGCUUGGCUUUGGGGCCCGCUGUAUCGGCGGCCCUUAAAAUCAGUGGCGGUGCCGUCUGGCUCUAAGCGUAGUAAUACUUCUCGCUAUAGGGUUUAGUCGUCCACCCGCUAGAACCCCCAACUUUCUUAGGUUGACCUCGGAUCAGGUAGGGAUACCCGCUGAACUUAAGCAUAUCAAUAAGCGGAGGA
rnacentral:rRNA from 1 species